UAACAAGUUCUGGAGGAACUGGAGUCAACUUGCUGGUCCUAACUUAUUCGUAAGGAACAAAUGGCAUACCGCCAAGAGAAAUGUCGCAGUCGGGGACAUCGUCUGGAUGGCGGACCAAAACGCCCUUAGGGGUCAGUUCAGGAUUGCAAGAGUGGUUAGCGUCAACUCGGACAGCAAAGGAGUUGUGAGGGACGUCAAUGUCAGAACCUUCCCAAGCUACCCCGUUCCUGUCACAAGGCCUACCGGAGCAAAAGUAAAUCACCGAACAUCUAAGAAAUUCAAAGAAAAGAUCCCAGCAGCAGUUCUUCACAGAGACGUAAGGCGACUAGUGGUCUUGCUUCCCACCGAAGAACAGAACUAAAGAUCUGACCCAAGUUGCACCGUAACAUGCGACCUCCCAGGUGUCUCCACUGGAAGGUCGAGUGGGAGGUGUGAAGUCAACUUGGAAAAUCCCCGCUGGAUAUGAAGGGGUUAAUAUGCAGCGCCGACUGACAGCUGGGGGAAUCCCUCCUCAGAGAAACCUGCUCAGUCUGCUGAAAUGAUGGAGAGACUCCUGCUGGAGGACAUGGCCAGUGAAAAAGAGAUCUUCAACUGUGUGAAGACCUCCUCCGGAUUUUCUUUGACUGUCUGAAACACCAGGAUGUCAUCUCCGAGGACGCGUCCUUCAGGUGGGGGACGAGCAAAGACCCGGCCAAGCAGCUGGGUAUGGGCGUGGCCCUUAAGACCGUCACGGCCUUCUUCACCUGGUUGCGGGAGGCAGAGUCCCAAGACAAUUGACGAGGGGAGACCCCCGGGGAACAUAGCAUAGUGUCCCCCGAAAUAUGCUGCCAUUUUGAGUUUGGAUUCCAACAGCGUAACCACUAAAUACCUGUAACAGACACAGAAAAUAUUUUUGUUUACUUUUCUUUUGCAACUUUACAAGAAGAAACUUGAAAGAUACAUGGGUUCCGACUCUUUCAUUUAUUGUUUUUUAAGGACUGCAAAUAUUGUAAUGCAAAAACAUUAAAGACAAUAAAAAGUAUUUAAAAAUG